rnacentral:lncRNA from 10 species
AUGGAGUGUAAGAAAUAUCCUAGUGCUUUGUCAUUUCACAUUUUAACCAAGAAAAAAUACACUUUAAUAAGUUUAGCUUACACUUCCCUUCCCCUUCAGGUAUCUACUGUGCGUUUCAGUCAACAGUACAGCUCAUGUUCGACAAUACUCCUUGAUGACAGCACAGCCAGCCAGCCUUAUCUUACAAUGACAAUAAUAUCAGUGACCUUGGAGAUACAUCAUGAUAUCACGCAAAGAGAUGCAGAUGGAUCUUUGAGCAUAUUUGAUGAACAGUUAUACUCAUGUACGGUUUCCACCAUGCACAUUACCCAGACAAGAAGUGGAAGUGGGAGUUUUAGUAACGAUUCCUCCUCCAUUCCAUCGACUCCCAGCACCAGCCAGGAGGACCUUCAGAUCGAUGUUCCUCCCACUGCCGACACACCCACGCCCGUUCACAAUCGAUCCAAGCGCUGGUCCAAGCUGUUUACAUCUGAGAAAGGGAGUGACCCAGACAAAGAGAAGAAAGCCCCAGAGAGCCAUGCUGACACCAUCGGGAGCGGCAGAGCCAUCCCCAUUAAACAGGGCAUGCUCUUAAAGCUAAGUGGGAAAUGGCUGAAGAAAUGGAAAAAGAAAUAUGCCACCCUCUGUGACAAUGGCAUGCUCACCUAUUAUUCAAGCUUAGGUGAUUGUAUGAAGAAUAUUCACAAAAAAGAGAUUGACCUGCGAACAUCUACCAUUGAAGUCCCAGGAAAGAGGCCACCCCUAGCCACAUUGGCCUGCGUGCCCAUUUCCAGCUCUAAAGGCAAUGGCCUAUUCAAGGACAUGAACAGUCUAUGUACCUCAGCCAAUUCAGACACCGGGCUGAGUGACUCCAUAUGCUCCAGCCCCAAUAUCUCCAGCACCACCAGCCCCAAGCUCAACCCACCCCCCUCUUCUCAUGCCAACAAAAAGAAACACCAAAGGAAGAAAUGCACCAACAACUUAAAAGACAAUGGCCUGUCUGGCACUGCUGAAAAACAAGCAGAAAACUUUAUCAUUGUGUCCCUCACUGGCCAAACGUGGCACUUUGAAGCCACGUCAUAUGAGGAGCGGGAUGCCUGGGUCCAAGCCAUCGAGAGCCAGAUCGUGGCCAGCCUGCAGUCAUGCUAGAGUAGCAAAAGCAAGUUCCGGCUACUUUGGACUAGCACAAUGUUAUUUACUAAUAAUCUUGAUCCUUAGCUACAUUUCUCUGCAAUAAAUUUGCUAUGAUGCCAUGAUGGGGAUCAGCAAGCUACGUUUUCCAAGUUCCUUCUAGUGGGAUCCUGCUAAGUUCUGCUAUUGGGAGGUACUAGAGAAACAUAGAAAGGCAAGAGAAUGGAAGAAUAGAUCUCCUUUUCCUGUUUAUUUGCUGUCCUUGCCGAUGUUCUCCCAAGAACAUCCCCUUGCCGUAGGAACAGUAAUUGUUGCAGUUUACCAUUUUUUUCAGAGCCCCAGAAAGUGCCUCUUCAGAGGUAACAGCAGCAGUUGGAACAUAUCUCUCCCUCAGAGAUCUAGUCUCAGCCCAGGAAGGCUUUUACUCUGAGUUUUAAUUGUAAUAACUCCAAUCUCUUCCCUUCAUUCAUCUAAGCUUCUGAGGAGGCCCCUAUGUGGCCAGGAGAUGGUGGUGAUGGCUGCAUCUUGCAGUCAUUUUCUUUGCUUUCUACAGUGUUGUUACUUGUUUCUCCUAUUUCCUAUGUGGUCAAUGUUUUAAUAUUAACUCAUAGUCAUAGUGUAGUAUUAGUACUUUAUGUGAAAUGACAUGUUUUUUAUAAUGUAGCCAUGGCCUACCAAUAGCAUAUUUUCUUUUAAAUUUGGUAAUAUAUAUUUUGCUUCAGUGACUUUAUAUCCUUAUUUGUUGCCCAAAUUACUUUUUCAUAUACAAAACAUCCAAUAUUACGCGGUCCCAUCAUUUCUUCUGAUAUCCCUUGUCCUGUGAUUUCUCCUGGAAAGUGAAUUGUUUAUCCAUCCAUUUCACUCUGUGAAGUUAUACAGGUCUAUCUAUGGAGAACUCCUGUGCUCCAAUUUAUUCCUUGUGUGAAACUGGG